rnacentral:lncRNA from 1 species
CACGGGAGGAUUCUGAGAAGAUACUUUUCAUCUUCUUUGCAGCUCGGCCUGUCUUAUAAUUCAGUUUUCAGUCCUAAUUUCCUGCACAGUGUGUCCUGGAGCUACAGAAGAGAAUUACUCCGAGGUUUCAUAGAAGCCCCUUGGUUUUUAAGGGAUAAAAAGACCAUAUUGGACUCUCUGCCUUUUUGUGACUGGAUCAUCAUGGUACAUCAGGAGUGCUGGUUUUAUGCUAAUCGCUCCGGCAUCAUCCAGGACAAGAUCAAGACCCUCCAAAAAGACCUUGACCUGUGGUUGGGCCUUGGGAGAUGGCUUCCUUAUCUCCUCCCCCUUGUGGGCCCCUUGCUCUCCAUUGUCCUUGUAAAUUUGUCCAAGAUCGCAUUGCUGCAGUCCAGUUAAUGGUGGUCAACAACAAUAUGCCACUCUUCAAGAACCGAGUUAUGCCGCUCUUUAAGCCCCAGAUUGGGAACCCUGUACAUCCGCCCAUGGCCACUGCCAAGAUAUAGAGGUAUAAUACCUCAUACCCUGAGUUGCUGAGGUGGUAGCCAAUGAUGGGUAAGAUCCCUGGGGCAGCCCUUAAC